rnacentral:rRNA from 1 species
GAGAGUCCUGAAGGAACGUUGAAGACGACGACGUUGAUAGGCCGGGUGUGUAAGCGCAGCGAUGCGUUGAGCUAACCGGUACUAAUGAACCGUGAGGCUUAACCUUACAACGCCGAAG